UGGCAGGCUAGAUUGGGGAGUUAGCCCUUCCUUGUAACCACAAACGGGCUUUAUGGUGGAGUUGAAGCUUUGGAGAGGCAUUUUCAAGAUUUAUUGGCCUUGAUUUGGACAGUGAUAUUCUGUCCCUGUGGACUGACUCAUAUGAGAACCGUGUCAGACUGGGAACAGUGCAGCACUAACUGUAUGAAUUGGUGCUUCAGGGGUAGCGGAAUUGAGAAAAAAUUGAGAUCCUCCGAUGAGUUUUGUUAGUGUCCAUCUGAGGUGUGCCUGCCG
rnacentral:SRP_RNA from 1 species